rnacentral:rRNA from 1 species
CCUACGGGGGUCAGCAGUGAGGAAUAUUAGUCAAUGGACGAGAGUCUGAACCAGCCAAGUAGCGUGAAGGAUGACUGCCCUAUGGGUUGUAAACUUCUUUUAUAUGGGGAUAAAAUGUUCCACGUGUGGGAUUUUGUAUGUACCAUAUGAAUAAGGAUUGGCUAACUCCGUGCCAGCAUCGGAGGUCAUACGGAGGAUCCGAGCGUUAUCCGGAUUUAUUGGGUUUAAAGGGAGCGUAGGUUGAUUGUUAAGUCAGUUGUGAAAGUUUGCGUCUCAACCGUAAAAUUGCAGUUGAAUCUGGCAGUCUUGAGUACAGGAGAGGUAGGCGGAAUUCGUGGUGUAGCGGUGAAAUGCUUAGAUAUCACGAAGAACUCCGAUUGCGAAGGCAGUUCACUGGACUGCAACUGACACUGAGGCUCGAAAGUGUGGGUAUCAAACAGGAUUAGAUACCCGAGUAGUC